rnacentral:rRNA from 1 species
UACGUAGGGGGCGAGCGUUGUCCGGAUUCAUUGGGCGUAAAGAGCUCGUAGGCGGCUUGGCAAGUCGGGUGUGAAAACUCCAGGCUCAACCUGGAGACGCCACCCGAUACUGCCAUGGCUUGAGUCCGGUAGGGGACCACGGAAUUCCUGGUGUAGCGGUGAAAUGACGCAGAUAUCAGGAGGAACACCGGUGGCGAAGGCGGUGGUCUGGGCCGGUACUGACGCUGAGGAGCGGAAAGCAUGGGUAGCGAACAGG